UACAGCCAUAUCAUAUUGAAACACCAGAUCCUGUAUGAUCACUGAAGUUAAGCAAUGUUGAGCCUGGCCAAUACCGAGAUGGGUGACCACUCGGAAAUACCAUGUGUUGUAAG